CGGGGCCCAGCUGGGUUGGGCAAUCAGGCUCCGCCUUGCUGCCCGGUUUGGGGUGCAGCAUUUGGACCGGACCAGCCCUCAGAAUUCCUGUGCCGGGACCUACUGGGGACCUGGGAAGGCCGGAAUCCUAGACUCAUUCCUCCACCGCGUCCCUUGGUGUCAUACAGCUCAAGACCAGAACAUUGCCCUGUAGCCGGGUUAGGGGUUGCUGGUACCAUGGGACCCCCUUCUGAUUUCAUUGGCUAGCUGUAGCGCAGACCCUACUUGGGAGCUAUGUGUCAAUCAGCGCCGCCCCCUCCCCUGCCUGGUCUCCGGCACCCCGGACUCUAGGGAGACCUUGUCAUUUCAGUCCCUCCCACCGCUCCUUCUGAGCAGUUGCCUCCCCCUGCCGGCCCGGGUGGAGUGUGCUAGUCUGGCCCAGGAUUGGAAGGAGGGCCUUGGCCAGUGCCCUCCGGGACAGUGAGGAAUUGAGCCAUUGACAGCUGCAGCUGGGGAAUCCCAGCAGACAGGAUUGGACUUCAGGGACCAGAGUGCUGGGUUCUGCUGUCUGCAACAGCACCAGGGAGCAGGUGCUUUGAAAUCCGAAUUGGCUCUAGAAAAACGACGAAGUGUGACUGUGUUGGGGGGCAAGUCCUGGGGAGAUCAAUCCCUCUGCUGUGUGGUCUUCUACCAACUCUGUUACCCAAACUUUGCAAUGUCACUCAUGUAGGGCAGUGGGGAGGAUGCAGUUCUGCUGUCUUGGCCUAAACCUGGAGAGGCAGAUGUCCACUGAUGGAACAAAGUUAAUAAAAUUAAAUUUUUGAGCUUCUUGUA